UACGUAGGUGGCAAGCGUUGUCCGGAUUUACUGGGCGUAAAGAGCGCGCAGGCGGUCAAGUAAGUCGAAUGUGAAAGCCCCCGGCUUAACUGGGGAGGGUCAUUCGAUACUGCUCGACUCGAAGGCAGGAGAGGGAAGCGGAAUUCCCGGUGUAGUGGUGAAAUGCGUAGAUAUCGGGAGGAACACCAGUGGCGAAGGCGGCUUUCUGGCCUGUUCUUGACGCUGAGGCGCGAAAGCUAGGGGAGCAAACGGG
rnacentral:rRNA from 1 species